UGGGAUUCAGGUCUGGGCUUCAGCUGGGCCAUUCCAGAGUCUCAAUCUUAUUCCGGUGAAGUUAUUUGAAUGUUACUGGUUCAAUCUGAACACAGCCAUAUCCCCAGUUAUUAAAGGGUGUGCACACUAAUGCAACCGCAUGAUCUCAGUUGUUUUUUUUACUUCACCUCCCUGAAAGAUUUCUGUUUGUUUUUCAGUUGUGUUGUACAGGUUAUUGGUCACAGAAAAAAUUGUGAAUUUAUUUAUCUUAAUGUAACUUUUUUAUAUGACAAAAACUUAGCAUUUGAACAAGGGUGUGUAGACUUUUAUAUCCACUGUAUGUGUGUUACAGAGGAGAGUGAAAACAUAUGAUGUUUACACCCCAUUUAGGGUCUAAAAGAGAAUUGCAUACUAUAUUGAUUAUUUAUCCUUUAUGUUUUUAUCUUUUAACAAUAUUAGAUCUGUUACAUUCAAAAGUUAAAGGCGAUUUAUCCAUAUUUUAGUUCUUUUUGAACUCCACUCUGGCUCCUGUUUGCUGUAUUUUGCGGUUGUUUAACCGGUGGGGGGCGCGACAUUGUCUC